rnacentral:rRNA from 1 species
AGGGUUUGAUCAUGGCUCAGAUUGAACGCUGGCGGCAUGCCUUACACAUGCAAGUCGAACGGUAACAGGGAGCUUGCUCCGCUGACGAGUGGCGAACGGGUGAGUAAUAUAUCGGAACGUGCCCUGGAGUGGGGGAUAACUAGUCGAAAGAUUAGCUAAUACCGCAUACGAUCUAAGGAUGAAAGUGGGGGAUUCGCAAGAACCUCAUGCUCGUGGAGCGGCCGAUAUCUGAUUAGCUAGUUGGUAGGGUAAAAGCCUACCAAGGCAUCGAUCAGUAGCUGGUCUGAGAGGACGACCAGCCACACUGGGACUGAGACACGGCCCAGACUCCUACGGGAGGCAGCAGUGGGGAAUUUUGGACAAUGGGCGCAAGCCUGAUCCAGCAAUGCCGCGUGAGUGAAGAAGGCCUUCGGGUUGUAAAGCUCUUUUGUCAGGGAAGAAACGGGUGAGGUUAAUACCUUUGCCUAAUGACGGUACCUGAAGAAUAAGCACCGGCUAACUACGUGCCAGCAGCCGCGGUAAUACGUAGGGUGCAAGCGUUAAUCGGAAUUACUGGGCGUAAAGCGUGCGCAGGCGGUUAUGUAAGACAGAUGAGAAAUGCCCGGGCUUAACCUGGGAACUGCAUUUGUGACUGC